rnacentral:rRNA from 1 species
AACGCACCUUGCGCUCCUUGGUAUUCCGAGGAGCAUGUCUGUUUGAGUGUCAUGAACUCUUCAACCCACCGGUUUCUUGUUAAACUGCUCGUGGUGUUUGGAUUCUGAGCGUUGCUGACUCGUCAGAGUGAAGCUCGUUCGUAAUACAUGAGCAUCUCUGUUUAAAUUCGGAUUGACUCAGCGUAAUAGACUAUUCGCUGAGGACACCUUCAGGUGGCCGAAAGACAAUAUGAGAAGCUGCUAGUCAGUCAACUUUUUGAUUUAGACCUCAAAUCAGGCAGGAUUACCCGCUGAACUUAA